UAUGACAAUUAGUCCAUCAAACAAAGGACAAAGUUCGCGCGAGCAUGUUAAAUACGAAGUCUUUCAGAAACCGAAACUACGACAAACUUGUCGCGUUGCAUGAGUUACCAUCAAAGCAGUGUCGAAAAUUGCUCACCCUAUUAUUUAAAGUAAGGUUCACUCAAGCGUCUGACUAGACUUUCUGUCGAAGCGAACAAAAAACUAAUUCAGAAGCUAAGCGGCGACUAGGGCGACAGCCAGCGCUUUCUUCUGCACUUCUGGACGCACGUCACGUGACCUGACGGAGAACUUUUGGCGCGCUUCCGUGCCUCAACCUGUGCCUGGACUACGGUGCCUCAAAGCCGAAGGAUUUAUCUGCGUUUGUUACGUGUGUUCUGUGUUUACUGCGUCUUUCCCUUCGACGAGAGAACGGCAAAAAGCUUCGAGGAACAACGCCCUGUCCCCGGAAAAAGGCACAGCGACGUUCGUCAGGCGAGCAGAAUGCGGCUGCCGCGGCCGAGACCGAACCAGCGACGUCGAGCACGGCGGCGCAAGGCCACCGCGGCGGGUCUGUCUGGAUGUCUGGCACCCCGGAACGUCACGAUGAGACAUCGCAUAUCAAACUGGCGAUUUAUCUACAGAAACGCUGCCUGACAGAAGACUUCGCAUGGACGACCUGCCAGUAAUGCCACACAUAGCAGCUUCACCACGCCACUUAAUAGUGGUCGUUGGUAUGAAAAUUACUACACCAGGCAAGCAAAUUAAUUAAGGGCCCAGCCACACAGAGGAAUGAAUUCUCCACAUGCUGUGCAUUGCUUCAAGUCUUGCUUUGUUACACGUCCCCUUCUUUGUCUUUUGUGCAUUUCCAACUGCCCAACUUGGCAACCAAUAUUAAAGGCCCAACCACACAGGGCUCAUUACACGCAUCUGGCUAUGGCAUCACGCACCUGUUCUAGGUGUCUUGCAAGAGGAAAUGCGCGGAUAUCUGCUCAUGCCGGAUAUGAGCGUCUGCACCAAAAGUUGCAAGCUGUGUGCCAACAUCACGCGGCAUGUGAAAUUCCGACAUGGAUGCUGAAACACAUUGGUUUUGUUCUGAAGAUGUGAACAUACAAGCUUUGCGUGUUGCUCAAUUUGAAAAUAAUGUAGCACCUGUAAUAUUGAUAAAUAGAAAACAGUAGCAUAACAACGUUCAGAAUAAACUUUCCUCAAACCCAAAAACUAACGGUUCCGCUCAGGGUGAUCUCGCAGCACUAUGCACAAUUAAGUGCGCGUAUCGUGUGUCUGAUCGCCCUUCCCUUCGUCGCACGCAUACGGACUCAAAACCGUGUAAGCUGACAUAUGUACCAGGCACCAUAAGUUCUCAGCAUACUUGAAGGCAGUCCCAUUCUCUCUUUUCUGGUCAC